rnacentral:rRNA from 1 species
CCUACGGGGAGCAGCAGUGAGGAAUAUUGGUCAAUGGACGCAAGUCUGAACCAGCCAAGUAGCGUGCAGGAUGACGGCCCUCCGGGUUGUAAACUGCUUUUAGUUGGGAAUAAAAGGGGGCUCGUGAGCCCCGUAUUGUAUGUACCAUCAGAAAAAGGACCGGCUAAUUCCGUGCCAGCAGCCGCGGUAAUACGGAAGGUCCGGGCUUUAUCCGGAUUUAUUGGGUUUAAAGGGAGCGGAGGCCGGCUUUUAAGUCAGCUGUGAAAGUCCGAGGCUCAAACUUGGCAUUGCAGUUGAAACUGGAUGUCGUGAGUGAACAUAGGGAUGCCGGAAUUCAUGGUGGAGCGGGGAAAUGCUUAG